AACUAAACGGCGGUUUUGACCAUUUAAUGCUGAGGGUGCCGUUACAGCAGCCGUUUCUGCUUGUGAGCAUUGGUUAGUGGUGGCCGAAUAGAAGGUUUAUGCACAGUUGCAAGACUCUGGAGGACUCUUCAUCUUGAUGUCCGUGGGACUCCAGAGGCACCAGCAGCUUCAAAUAUCUGUUUGCUGCUGUGUAAUGGUAUUUUAGCAGCUGCUCUCUUGAUCCGAU